rnacentral:lncRNA from 1 species
AUGUGUGCUCCAGGCUGGGAGCCAGGGCAGCCUCAUGGGCCAGCCCCAUCCGCAAGGAACCUGUGUCUGGGGAGACAGGCAGUCACGAAUGAGAUAUUUUCAGGUCCUGUGAAGAUAGUGGCCCAUCUGCCUGGGUCACCCUCACUGCGCACGGUGUGGAUGGCAUCGUAUCUCCAAAGGGCAGUGGCUCCACGUGAACAGGAUGAAGGUUCUCUCCUCAUGGCUUGCUGGGAAGUUUAAAUGAGACGACCUAGUCCAGGGCACCUAAUUGGACUUUUUUGUCUUAGUUGGCAGAUGAAACACCAAUACAUUUGUAUGCCCUGGCUCUCCUUUCCCAGAUUCCAGAAUGGCCAUGCAGAGGCUUAUUCCUGCAGUCUCAGGGUCUCCACACCCAAUGUGCGACCCCAUCGUCAAGCUUCCUCCUGAAUCAGGACAACUUUCAGGAACAAACCUCUCAAGGGGCCCCCUCUUUCAACUCCUGGGUUCCACCCUCUCCCUAAUUCAGAAAAUGAUAGAAUCUCACCCAGCCAGAUCUCCCACCUGACUCCAUGUGUAAUGGCCUGCAAGUGUCUCCCUCAACCCUCAGACAAGCUCUUCCCAAGACAAAGGAGCUUUUAAUUUUAGCACUCCAGUGCAUGAUGUGCUGGUAUUAGUGAUGGCAGAUGAGCUGGUAUUGCUAAUAACCAUUCUCUCACCGAUCCACACAUCCAUCUACUCACUUACCCACCCACCCACUCAUCUACCCCUUCAUCUAUCACCCAACCAUCUACCCACUAUCCAUCCAUUCUUGGUCUGCCUGGCUCUGGGGCCUGUCAUCCUCUAGAUGCUUUGCCUCAGCCUUGGUACCAAUGGACUGGCAUUAUGUCAUAUGCCACAGCCCCUGCAGGCAAGAAUAUUUCCGCUUGCCCUGAUUGUCUGUUGGUUGCCAGAUCCCUUCCCUCCUCUGAUCACAGAGAGGCUGGAAGCCUGCAAACUACAUUUGCUAGAGCCCUUACCAGUGGCCUUCCAGUUUGUUCCCACUGGUAGGAAGCACUGAUCAAUCAGAAGGCAGUAAAGUUCCUGGAUCUGGGGGGUUUUUUAGUGCUGGCAACAGCAGCAGUCAUCAGCAGGCAUGCACACCUGGGUCUUGUUCAGCCAGCAAGGUUCUACCAGGAGCACCCUCAGCAGGCCCUGUGAUCCCCAGGCACUUCUGGGUGACACCUGUUCCUCCAGCCUCCAUGUAAAAGCAGCUUCCUGCACUUUUCCUGCACUUACCAAUAUAUUUGGGCAAUCUCACCUUUUCACUCUCACUCUUCUCAUUUUUCCAUCAGUUUUCAUAACCAGUCCCCUGCAUUAAAUCCACUCUGAAGCGCCUGGGCAAUUUCCAUUUUCCUGACUCUUCACUGACUGAUAAUGUCCUUGGUAGCAGAAAUGACUUCCUAGAAAUAGACCCUUAAUGCUGGAAAUCGGGGAUUGGUUAUCUGCCUGGAUUGGGCUGGAACACAGUAAUGACCUCACUGUCAGAGGGGAUGUGGUACCCUGGAAAGUCACAGCAUUCAGUGACAAAACUAGUCCUUAAAACAUCACCUAUUUUAAGCACCUGGGGUGAAGCGUCUCUUGAAGGCAAAGCUUGAGAGACCAAAUGGCUGAAGCCCUUCAUGUCACGGGGACAGCUGGAGAGACGGUUGGCUUCUGACUACACUGGAGGCAGCAGAAGUGAUAAACCCAACUCUUGGGUUUGAUAGAAAAACAGACAGCAUCUUGGAUAACCAGAAAAGAAUCUCUUUAAUAUCUUGUAGCCAUAAGACUGAUACAACUGAAAACCCUAAAUUUGAUCCUGCAGGUUGCAGUUACAACACAAGUUGAAUUCACAGCCUUGCCGGAACUCUUAUGUAAAAUUUAGGGCAUUGGAUCUGGAAGGAGUGGGACCCUGAGAAUCGUAAAGGGAUAUUUGGGUGGACUUGAGCAAAUCCAAGAACCCUGAACUC